rnacentral:tRNA from 2 species
CGCGAGGUAGAGCAGUUGGUAGCUCGUCGGGCUCAUAACCCGGAGGCCGCAGGUUCAAGUCCUGCCCUCGCAACCA